GUGCCCACCAUGGCCUGGACGGUGCUUCUUCUCGGGCUCCUCGCUUACCGCUCAGGAGUGGAUUCUCAGACUGUGGUGACCCAGGAGCCAUCACUGUCAGUGUCUCCAGGAGGGACGGUCACACUCACCUGUGGCCUGAGCUCUGGGUCAGUCUCUACCAGUAACUACCCCUUCUGGUUCCAGCAGACCCCAGGCCAGGCUCGCCGCAUGCUUAUCUAUAGCACAAGCAGCCGUGCCUCUGGGGUCCCUAAUCGCUUCUCCGGAUCCAUCUCUGGGAACAAAGCCACCCUCACCAUCACGGGGGCCCAGGCUGAGGAUGAGGCCGACUAUUACUGUGCUCUGUAUACAGGUAGUAGUGUUCACACAGUGAUGUAA